rnacentral:tRNA from 1 species
GGAGAGGUGGCAGAGUGGUCGAUUGUACCUGACUCGAAAUCAGGCGUACGUGCGAACGUACCGAGGGUUCGAAUCCUUCCCUCUCCGCCA